GUUUGAGUCCUGGCUCAGACGACGCUGGCGGCGUGCCUAAUACAUGCAAGGUCAACGGAGAUAUUCGCUGAUGAAGUACUUCGGUAAUGAAUCUUGGAUAUCUUAGUGGCGGACGGGUGAGUAACGCGUGAGCAACCUGCCUUUCAGAGGGGGAUAACGUUUGGAAACGAACGCUAAUACCGCAUGACAUUAUCUUAUCGCAUGGUAGGAUAAUCAAAGGAGCAAUCCGCUGAAAGAUGGGCUCGCGUCCGAUUAGGUAGUUGGUGGGGUAACGGCCCACCAAGCCGACGAUCGGUAGCCGGACUGAGAGGUUGAACGGCCACAUUGGGACUGAGACACGGCCCAGACUCCUACGGGAGGCAGCAGUAAGGGAUAUUGGUCAAUGGGGGAAACCCUGAACCAGCAACGCCGCGUGAGGGAAGACGGUUUUCGGAUUGUAAACCUCUGUCCUCUGUGAAGAUGAUGACGGUAGCAGAGGAGGAAGCUCCGGCUAACUACGUG
rnacentral:rRNA from 1 species